rnacentral:sRNA from 1 species
UUGCAGCGUUAGGGAUUGCAGCGGAAAGCCCGCAGCGACUGCAAGGAGCGAGGACUUGGAGCGAAAAGCUCGGCACGAA